AGAGUUUGAUCCUGGCUCAGAAUGAACGCUGGCGGCGUGCUUAACACAUGCAAGUCGUACGAGAACUCUUUAGCUUGCUAAAGAUAGUAAAGUGGCGUACGGGUGAGUAACGCGUGGGUAAUCUACCUCUGAAUCUGGGAUAACAUUGCGAAAGCGAUGCUAAUACCGGAUAAUAUCUCAACACCAUAUGGUUUUGAGAUCAAAAAUGGCCUCUACAUGUAAGCUGUUGUUUGGAGAUGAGCCCGCGUACCAUUAGCUUGUUGGUAGGGUAAUGGCCUACCAAGGCAACGAUGGUUAGCUGGUCUGAGAGGAUGAUCAGCUACACUGGAACUGACACACGGUCCAGACUCCUACGGGAGGCAGCAGUGAGGAAUUUUGCGCAAUGGGGGAAACCCUGACGCAGCAACGCCGCGUGAGUGAUGAAGGCCUUCGGGUCGUAAAGCUCUGUCAAGUGGGAAGAAAAUGUAAAAUGUUAAUACCAUUUUUCACUGACGGUACCACUGAAGAAGCACCGCUAACU
rnacentral:rRNA from 1 species